AGAGCCUAUUUAAUUAUUUUACUAUAAUAUGGCAUAUAUAAUGUUGACAAAGCAUCACUAUCAACUAUAUUCCGCUCAGAAACAUUUUUUCGUAAGCAAUGGUUUAUCAUUGUUUCCAGGUAUACAUUAAAUUACUUAUAACAGUGUUUGUACCCGUCCCCAUUAUCCUAAGACGUAUUUUUUUAUUUUUAGUCUGAGCUAUAAUGAGGAAGCGCUAGAACCGGCUCUAGUAAUUACUGAUGGGGGAUAGGCAUCAACUUUUAAAUUCUAAGCGUAUCAAGGGAGCUAUUAGUUUAACAAGAUUUUUAUUUUUUUCUUGUCUGUGGGCAUGUUUUUUCCUAGUA